rnacentral:rRNA from 1 species
UACAGAGGUGGCAAGCGUUGUUCGGAAUUACUGGGCGUAAAGGGCGCGUAGGCGGCCUACUAAGUCAGACGUGAAAUCCCCCGGCUUAACCUGGGAACUGCGUCUGAUACUGGAAGGCUUGAGGAUGGGAGAGGGAUGCGGAAUUCCAGGUGUAGCGGUGAAAUGCGUAGAUAUCUGGAGGAACACCGGUGGCGAAGGCGGCAUCCUGGACCAACACUGACGCUGAGUGAGCGAAAGCCAGGGGAGCAAACGGG